rnacentral:rRNA from 1 species
CAAUAGCGUAUAUUAAAGUUGUUGCGGUUAAAAAGCUCGUAGUUGGAUUUCUGUCGAGGACGACCGGUCCGCCCUCUGGGUGAGCAUCUGGUUUGGCCUGGGCAUCUUCUUGGGGAACGUAGCUGCACUUGACUGUGUGGUGCGGUAUCCAGGACUUUUACUUUGAGGAAAUUAGAGUGUUUCAAGCAGGCGCACGCCUUGAAUACAUUAGCAUGGAAUAAUAAGAUAGGACCUCGGUUCUAUUUUGUUUGGUUUCUAGAGCUGAGGUAAUGAUUAAUAGGGAUAGUUGGGGGCGAUUAGUAUUUAAUUGUCAGAGGUGAAAUUCUUGGAUUUAUUGAAAGACUAACUACUGCGAAAGCAUUUGUCCAAGGAUGUUUUCUAUUAAUCAAGAACGAAAGUUAGGGAGUCGAAGACGAUCAG